AACGCGUAAAUAAUCUACCCUGAUGUCUGGGAUAACCAGCCGAAGGCUGACUAAUACCGGCUAUAUGCUACCCUAUUGGGGGGUAUCAGGAAAGGUGGCCUCUUCUUGAAAGCUAUCGCAUUGGGAUGAGUUUGCGUACCAUUAGCUAGUUGGUGGGGUAAAGGCCCACCAAGGCGACGAUGGUUAGCGGGUCUGAGAGGAUGAUCCGUCACACUGGCACUGGAACACGGGCCAG
rnacentral:rRNA from 1 species